ensembl:miRNA
UACCUACUUCUAGACUUGGUGUACUUUGAGAGACAGUGUUGUUUUUUGCUCCUUUUUUAUACUUGCUAUGUCUGGACGUGGCAA